AAAGUCGUAACAAGGUUUCCGUAGGUGAACCUGCGGAAGGAUCAUUAUUAUUUGGGUCGGGUUUACUACUUAUAACUGUUGCUCUUGUGUCUCAAAUGUAAAGUAGUAAACUUUUACCAAAUAAUCCUAUAUCCAAAUAGGAGCAAGAUGAAUUUAUAUUUAAAACCCACUCUUGAAUGUAUAAAAAUUUUUAUGUAUUAAUGAUAAAAUAAAAGAUCACUUUCAACAACGGAUCUCUUGGCUCUC
rnacentral:misc_RNA from 1 species